rnacentral:rRNA from 1 species
CAGUAGCCGCGGGAAUACGUAGGUGGCAAGCGUUGUCCGGAAUUAUUGGGCGUAAAGGGCUCGCAGGCGGUUUCUUAAGUCUGAUGUGAAAGCCCCCGGCUCAACCGGGGAGGGUCAUUGGAAACUGGGAAACUUGAGUGCAGAAGAGGAGAGUGGAAUUCCACGUGUAGCGGUGAAAUGCGUAGAGAUGUGGAGGAACACCAGUGGCGAAGGCGACUCUCUGGUCUGUAACUGACGCUGAGGAGCGAGAGCGUGGGGAGCGAACAGGAUUAGAUACCCCGGUAGUCCCUGUCUCUUAUAA